GACGAACGCUGGCGGCGUGCUUAACACAUGCAAGUCGAACGGAAAGGCCCUGCUUUUGUGGGGUGCUCGAGUGGCGAACGGGUGAGUAACACGUGAGUAACCUGCCCUUGACUUUGGGAUAACUUCAGGAAACUGGGGCUAAUACCGGAUAGGAGCUCCUGCUGCAUGGUGGGGGUUGGAAAGUUUCGGCGGUUUGGGAUGGACUCGCGGCUUAUCAGCUUGUUGGUGUGGUAGUGGCUUACGAAGGCUUUGACGGGUAGCCGGCCUGAGAGGGUGACCGGCCACAUUGGGCCUGAGAUACGGACCAGAAUCCUACGGGAGGCAGCAGUGGAGAAUAUUGCACAAUGGGCGGAAGCCUGAUGCAGCAACGCCGCGUGCGGGAUGACGGCCUUCGGGUGGUAAACCGCUUUCGCCUGUGACGAAGCGUGAGUGACGGUAAUGGGUAAAGAAGCACCGGCUAACUACGUG
rnacentral:rRNA from 1 species